AAGCCGUCCUCCCACUGGAGGCCACCGCCUACGGAGCUUGGGGCCCGGCCGCGGUUCUGCCUAGUCCCUCGUUCGCCGUUCGUGGCCUCGCUCUUCCCAGCUGUCCGCCAGCUCCCCACGCCCGCCCCUCGCUUCUUUAACCUCUCCGGCCGCAACCCACCCUUUUGCACUGCUCUUCCUGCUCCCAGCCUCGCUCCACCGCAUCCCUGCCCCGCCUUCGUGGGCGAAGACCCUUACUUCCGAGCCCCGGAGCGGCACUGUAGGCUGAACUGCUUCUUUGUCGCGGGUUCGUAGAAAGGUGACCUUUCGUCGCCGUCGGGCUUCUGGUCCCGCCGCUGCUGCCCUCGCAACCGAGGCCCCACGGCAAAAGGAGAACGGAGUGCGCAGUGCUCAUCGGCCCAAGAAAGGGCGGGACCCAAGGCUCAUGGUGCACCGGGAUCCCAUCGCCCCCGCCAGCAGCUCUCCCGUGGCAUAGCGCUGCCUGCAGCCUGCCCAGCCGGUCACCGAACACAGUAGGGUUUCGCGUUGCAGGCCCAGAGCGGAGGGGCGGGGUGAGGAGAGCAGCCUCCAUAGCAACUGGCGCUGGGCGCCUUCGGCAGGUUGUGACGUCAACGGCUGGGUGCGGGCCUACGUACCUGCACACACCCCCAGCAUCUUGGUAGGGGGACCCCGUUUUAUCGCCUUUAUUAAAUUCUUAGGUUUCCCAGGAAUUUUUCCUUAAAAUAUAUUUCUAACGUUGAAGAUUUAAUCUUAAUUGUUUGCCGUUGCUAGACUGUUUUGACCUUGCAAAAAUGUGUCAUGAAACAAUAUUAUGUGGUUUUAAUCCUGGGGUUAGUUAAAAAUAAGAUUCCUUGCGCUGUAUAGAGAUUCAAUUUUUUGGCUUAAAUGCAAUGUGAUUGAUUCUUAAAUGGUGACCGUUCAUGUUCACAGUCUUACAACCAACACCAUAAGAGUUUGUUGGGGGGAGGAGGUUGGUUUUUGAUAUCUUGGAAGAAAAGGAGGUAGGAGCCCCUACCUCUAAUCUCACUACGUUUGUUUUUAUUUUUGUGCUCACUUAGGCAGCAUUUAUACAAAAAUAUUUUUAUUUUUUAAAUGAGCCCUUAAUUUGCAGAUAAAUCUCACAAGUGGUAAGUCUUUGAGAAUGUAACAGAACUAUGUGAAAAAGAAGUAAGGGAAAUCUUCAGAUAGCUUCAGGGAAAAAAAGAUUUCAUUACCAUCCUUUGUUAAAGUCCUUAAUUUGGGCUGGGGUUCUGGCUCAGUGGUAGAGCACUUGCCUAUCAUGCAUGAGGCACUGAGCUCAAUUUGGAGUACCACAUAAAAAUAAAUAAAAUAAAGGUCUAUCAACAACAACAACAACAAAUUUUUUUUUAAAUGCUGUUUACCACCUACAUUGUCCUUGGCAUGGUUAACUAAAAUGUAUAGGAGCUGGGCAUAGUGGCACACACCUGUAAGAAAAGCAGUUUGGGAUCACAAGUUAAAAGCCAGCCUCAACAACUUAGCAAGGCCCUAAGCAAUUUAAGGAGACACUGUCUCUAAAGGCUGAGGAUGUGGCUCAGUAGUUAAAUGCCCCUGUGUUCCAUCCCCAGUACCCCCCCCCCCAAAAAAAAAAAGUAAAGGAGAUGGUUUGGACUGAGCGCAUUCACUAGGUCCAUGAGAGGAGCCCAAAAUGGAGUCACUCAUGCCAAGUUCCCCACCACUGUGCUGAAACCAAGGUGUUUAUUUGAAUUUGGAAGAAAUAAGAAGAGACAUAAUUGCCAGAUUUCUGAACAAUCUAAUUCUAGCCUAUAUAAUAAGGAAAGCUCUGCUUUAAUCUUUAGGAGAAAAGGCCAAUCCCCUUUUCUGUUUCAGUUUUCCACUGUCUUUUUCUGUCUAUGAAACCUAAUUCCUCUGCUAAAUUCUUUGGAAUACUCCUAUUUUAUGGAACAAGGUGUUGCCCAAUUAUCAAAUAGCAAGUAAAAGCUAUUUAAGAUUUUAAAAUUUGCUAUAGUUUUUACCGCUCUUGGUUAGGCAUUAUAGAGAUAUGAGUUUUGCAGUCAACUAAUUUACAUUUUAAAUAUAUAUUAAAAUGUGAGAACAAAAAGAUGGUAUUUGCCAAAGUGCUAAAUUUUCUCUUAACAGUGACUAUAAUGAGGAUAGAAAACCGGAUGUUUGAAAUUCUGUUGGAUUUAGAGAAUCCACAUGAUUCUGGAGGAGAUGGAUUUUAAUAUGCAUCUUAAAACAAGAGUUUCCACGAUAACCAUUAUUUGUCUGAUGAAUAGCUAGUUACACUGCCAGACUACAAGAUUUUGCAGCAAGCACGGUGGAAGCUGGUCAGGGAAGCUAAUUUUAGCUUCAGAUUUCCUAGGAGGAGGAAGAACACAUUGUGUGGGAGGGGCAACUGAUCUUGGUAUUCCAGGUGCUUUUCAAAUUCCCUUAUAAAAUGGUUCUCAGAUUCCAAAUUUCACCAUUUUGAUAAUAUUUCAAUUCAUAUUUCACUCAUUCUGACUAUUUUAGUAAAUAAAGUGUAUUUUUUGUGUGAUAAUCUUUCCCUUUAUUCACUGGGAAUUCCUAUCCACAACAUUAACGUUGUGACUUUUACUUUGUUUGCUUUAUUGUUUGUAACAUUAGCUUCACUCAUGCCUAAUCCAAACAUUUGUAUUACUUCUUCAUAUAUUCUAAGUCAUUUGGUGUACCUAUAAGCAUGGUAAUAUGUGAAAAUCCAUCAGCAAUUUGAGUGUAAGGGAAAUUUAGUUAUCCUCUGAGAAUUAAGCUUAAAAAACAAAAUCAUAAUUACCAAAUGACACAAUUUUCUGUCUUGGCAGCAUUUCAUAUGAAAAAGUACUUGAUAUUCUACUAGGAAUGUGACAGAUUUACUCAGAAUACAGUCAGCUGUGAAAAUAAAAUGUCCUCAGCCUCUAGGCAGUAGAGGGGGAUGUCCUAAAUGUGUGACCAAUUUGAUAAACUGUUGCAAUUAUUUAUUUGUUAAUUUGUUUUUGCAGUAUAGAGAUUGAACCCAAGGGCACAUUACCACUAAGCUACAUUCCCAGCCCUUUUUUGUUUGUAGUGGGGAUUUUUUGUUUGUUUUGUUUUGUUUUAUUGUACUGGGGGAUUGAACCCAGGAGCUUUUAACCACUGAGCCACAUCCUUUUUUAAAAUUUAUUUAUUUAUUUAUUUAUUUUUGAGAGGGCCUCACCAAGUUGCUAAGGGCCUUGCUAAAUUGCUGAGGCUGACCUUGAACUUACAGUUCUCCUUCCUCAGCCUCCUGAGUUUCUGGAAUCACAGGCAUGUGCCAUGUUGCAAAAAUUAAAGCCUUUAAAUUUAGGUUAAAGCACCCAAACCCUUUCAGCCUUCUUCCCUCAAAAUGGCAUCUGAGGGACAGAAGGGUGAGAGAUGGCUGACAUGAACUUGAGACACUGAUGGGUCUUCUGGGUCCUGAAAUCUGUAUGUUUUCUUUUGGAUUCUUGCUAGAUUUUUCUUUCAAGAUGGCCAAUUUUGACUGCUCCUUAAAGUACAAUGAGUGCUCCUUAAAGUGCAUACCUGUAAUCCCAGCAAAUCAGGAGGCUGAAGCAGGAGGAUUAAUAUUCAAGACUAGCUUUGACAACUUAAUGAUACUCUAUCUCAAAAAAUGAAAAGGGUUGAGGAUGUUACUCAGUGCCUCUGGGUUCAAUUCCUAGCACCAAAAAAUAAAUGAGAGAGAGAAAGAAAGAUAUAAUGAGUCUUGGGCAUUCCAUUGCUGGCACUUGCUGGUGAAGACGGCUCCAACCUGUCUCAGCUGCAUCUGGGGCCAUGGUCCUAUUGUCUGACCUAGUUGAUUCAACUUCACCAACACUGUGAAACCUCCUGAAUCUCUGCCCCAAUUAUCUCAGAGUUCCUUAACUGUCGACACAGCAGGCCCUUUAGCAGACCUUCUGGCUCUUGGGAUGUCUCUACACAGGACAAGUGGGGUUCUGGGCAUAUGUUACAGAAAAGAUUUCAGCAUGUGUCAGAGACAGACAAAACUUUAUUUAGGAAAGCAAAGAUACAUUUAAGGGAGAAUAUGGGCUAUCUCAAGAGUGAGAAGUUUUUGGAAUAAAGCAAGGAAUACACAUUCAAGGGGGAAGGCAGGCCAUCUCCAGAUAAACAGACAGAAAUCUAUUGGUGUGGGGUGUUAAUUUUUAUAGAGAGAUGGUUGCUAGGGGCUGGACUAAAGGUGGAGCCAGAGCAGCGUUACAUAAGUUGGUACCAGUUUUCUCAGCACUUGUGCAUUGCUCUCCUGUUGCCUUUUGCCGGAAAGGUCACUGGCUGAGAACAAGGGCUGGGGUGCUCAUCAAUGCUUGUUUUGCUUUUCAAUAGUUUGUGGAUGUUUUCUGCAUGUUAGUGGUUCAUGAGUGCUUCUUUUGAGAUUCAGUCUAACUUUAAUUUUCUGCAUCCCCAAAUUCUUAAGCACAGCUCUAUAUAGUCCAUGACAUCUCUUAGUACUUUCCCUCUAAUACUGUGAAGGGAGAUUUAUCCUGCACCAUUGAAUUUACAUGAAGUGUUUACUCCUAGGUUGGGUCUGAACAGCCCAUAAUGCCAUGUGCUUCCAGUUCUGCCCUCAGCAUACCCUUAAACCUAUCACAUCUUGUCCUUCCAAAUUGAAGUCCCUAUUUUGUCUGUUCUACCAUCUCAGGGAAUAAAUAGAAUGAAUAGACUUUUCCUCUUGACCUGUAUCACUGAUUGGGCACUCUCCUAUGUAAAACUCUUCAUUAAAGUUUACUAAGUUAAGUAAUUAAUAUACUAAAGAGGGAAAUUAAAAAAUUUAGAAAAUUAAUUUCUUUCUUGACAAAGUCUGGCUUUGUCCUAUUUAAAAGCCUGGUGAGUUUGCUUUUGAGGAAUUAUACUGGGAAGCUGAAGGGUAAAAUGGAAGGGAAACUCCAGUUUCACUGUCUACUCUUCAGUAUCUUUUUAAACUCGUACCAUGUGCAAUGUGACAUUCAACUAGUUUAUACCAGUACAGAUGUACUAGUUCUUUUCAGCCUGUUCAUUCUGAUUGGCUAAUAGUACCUAAGUGAUGAGUGUCAGUAAUAUUUUAGUAUUACUCAUGACUAUGCAUAACUAACUAAUGAAGCCAUGUGGUUUGAUUGUUUAAGUGUGUUUUGGAAAUAUUCCUUUUUAAAAAUAUAUAGCAAUAUUCUUUUCAUUUCUAUUGAAUUAAUCCUAAUUUCUUCCCUUUUUUCACCUCACCUCAGUGCACACAGAGGAGAGCAAUGCUGCAGGCCGAGUAAGAAGGAGGUCAAGUGGCUAAGAAUGUGAAAGAGAAACUGUAACAUACCAUCUUCCUAUCAAGAAUUUGUAACCCCAUUCCUAUCUCCCACUCUAACAAAUCAUGAUUUUUUCAAUUACUUCUUUUUCCCAGUCACAUGCUUCAGGAGGCAAUGACCAUUCUCAGCUCAAGGGGGGAAACCAUGAUUGAUAUGAACCCACCUGAAUGGGGCCCUGUCUUCUUUCUGGGGUUUAGUCAUGAGCAGGUGACUCAUAUGUGACCAAGGGAGCAUGGAGGGGAAUUAUUCUGGGGGACUUUGGCAAGUGCUUUUCUUUGUGGAACAGAAAACAGAUAAAUAACUGAGCAUGAUGGCAUAAACCUGUAAUCCCAGUGACUCAGGAGGCUGAGGCAGGAGGACCAUAACUUUAAGGCCAGACUCAGCAACUUAGCAAGAUCCUGUCUCAAAAAUAUAAGAAAGACUAGAAAUGUAACAGUCCUAGGUUCAAUCCCUAGUACCAAAAACAAAUAUAGAUAAAUAGGGCUGGGGAUAUGGCUCAGUGGUAGUGCAUUUACCUAGCAUGUGCAAGGUCUUGGGUUCAAACUUCAACUCUGAAAAAAAAAAAAAAAAACUGAGAAUAAAAACAAUCGCACAACCAUAUCCAUAUGUUUCUGUAUCUAUAUGUGCUGCCUGAAAUUGCUGCAAGCAUCAUGAAAAUACAGGAAGAAUGAGCCAAUGUACACAAGAUGGCAGAGCUAAGGGAUAGAAAGAUGUAGUUGAGCCAUUCCAUUAAUCUAAUCAGGAACUGGCCUACCUCCUUUCUGUUAAACUAAAUAAUAAACAUUCUCUCAUUUAAGCCAUUCUCAGUUGGUUCUACUUUCGUUUGUUGCCGAACAUAUCUGAGUUAGGCAUUUGUUCAGUAACAAUCAGAUACAUGUUCCUACCCUUUUCCUUGUUCUGCUCUGUGUUGCUGGAACUGACCCUGUUUCCCAGUUUCCCUUGUGAACUGACCUCUGGCUACAUUGAGCCAAUGGGAAGCACUGAUGAGAGAUCUGAAGGAAGGAAGACCAAUGUAUUUCUCCCUCUCCCUUUGCUUCUGGCCGUGGCUCCAUUUCUUCUGUAGUUUUGGCUUCCCAAGAUGGUGCUUUCCUUGAUGGUCCCACUUCCUGCUAGGCAGUCCCUGAUUGUUCUCAGUAACUUGGUGUUUACCUUACUGUCACUCUUAGACUUUUAGCUCUUGUAGGUUCUUUUUAAUUAGUUUUAAUUAAACGUUCUUUACUGAACUAUCAGUUGUGAACUCCACUUCCUGAUUGGACCCUGUUCCCUCUGCCUAACUGAAUCAAUACUUAAGAAGGGCUGGGGAUGUGGCUCAAGCGGUAGCACGCUCGCCUGGCAUGUGUGUGGCCUGGGUUCGAUCCUCAGCACCACAUACAAACAAAGAUGUUGUGUCCUCCGAAAACUAAAAAAUAAAUAUUAAAAUUCUCUCUCUAAAAAAAAAAAAAAAAAACUUAAGAAGGAGACAGGAGGCAAGUGAGAAAUGCUGCAAAAGUGGUUCCUGUUCCCCAGAGAGAAGUAACUGAGUCACUUUCCAAUGCAAGUUUAAAUUCUCUUCUCAUACUUCUGUGAAUUAGCAUAAAUGGAAAUUCAAAAGUGAGAUUAAAUUAUAGAAAAUAAAAGAAUCUACCCUUCUUUAUCACACUCUAGUGUGGGACAGUUAAAUUUCAAUUAAUUCAUAAAUAUCAUUACUGAUAUGCAUUUUCAUGCCAUUUAACUUUCUCUACUGGAAAUUGAUCCCUGGAGUACUAUACCACUGACCUAAACUCCAAGAUGCUGGCCAUUCAAUUUCAUAUCAGCAGUAUUUUUACAUACUGUUGUACAGCUGCCAUUUUUAAUAAUAUUCAUAUUAGUAGCUCCAGUGGCCCUGUUUAUCCCGUGAAACCCAGCUUUUAUGGUACAGUUAACUAGAAUACAUCUGUAUAUAGUCUCAACCCAUGCCAACCCCACUCUCUCUCCAAGAAAGUGGAACUGAGAUUCCAAUAUUCAAUUCAGUUUUUAUUAACUGCCUUAACUUCUAAGGUAGAUUAAACCAGGAGCUGUGAGACAAGGCAGCCACCUUCUGCCUUGCCCAAACACAGAGAUCAAUCGCUAGAAAGACAGCAAACCAGCAAUAAAACAGGCAUUCUUAAUACUGCCCUUGGAAGCAAAACUCUAAAGACCAAUGAUGGCAGACAUUUCAACAAGUUAAUUCAUGUUUUAUCUCCAGCCCUUUUUUUAUAUUUUAUUUAGAGACAGGGUCUCACUAAAUUGUUGAGGGCCUUGCUAAAUUGCUAAGGCUGGCUUGGAACUCCCAAUCCUCCUGCCUCAGUCUCCUGAAUCACUGGGAUAGCAGGCAUGCACCAUGGCGCCCAGCUUUUUUUAAUUUUUGAGAGAAAGAAUGUAAAGUUGAAGCUAAAAGAUCUGUCUCUCCCCCCUCCUCUAUUUCUCUCCUCUCUUCUCCCACUCUAAUCUUUUUCCUUUUUAUCUUUCCCUUGCUUCAAACAUUUAUUGAUUUUUUUUUUUUUUAACAUCCUCAGGCAUUGUUCUGUGCUGUCCUCAUAUCCAUGACAGAGGCAAAGAUAACAAGAUUAGUUCUGGUGUAACAGUGGAAGCAAAGCCUAACACUAGUUUCAUUGCUGCUGUUUUGUUAGGCUGGGGAUAGAAUCCAGAGGUGCUUUACCACUGAAUUACAUGCCCAGUCCUCUUUACUUUUUGUUUUGAGACAGGGCCUCACUAAGUUGCUGAUGAUGCCCUCAAUGUUGUGAUCCUCCUGCCUCAGCCUCCUGAGACUGGAAUUAUAGGCAUGUGCUACUGCAACCAGCCUACACCAGUUUUAAAAAUCAAAAUCUUAAGUUUUAAAGAAACCAGAAAAACCCUUCUUCAGUAACAUAAGUAACUCUCUUUCUGUACAUAAAGUUUAAUUAUUUCAGCCUUCACACUCACUAAAUAGGCAUGUACUAUCUUUGCAAAAGGAAAUAAUCCAAAGUCCCUUCCAACCAUUUUUCUAGAGACAAUGUCAUAAGACCACUAUUUUCCCAGUCCAGUAUUUCCAAAUAUUUCCUUUACUUGAGUCUUAAUCUGAUCCAGUUUUGACAUUUCAUGAUCUUGCAAUCUUAGACUAAUUCAUAAAUGUAAUCCCUGUUAACCACCUCUGGUACCACAAUGAAGAACAAAUACAACUACAAUGGAAUUUUCCAUUUAGAACAUGGGGAAAUGGGAAGAAACCGCAGGACAUGUACCAUAUGUGGUUGGACAGUUAACAAAGCAAAACAGAGAACUGCCUAGUCUUGUGGACUUCAUUGGGAAGAUGGCAGUAGUGAGAAUUCUGCUGUCAACUGGAUCCUCCAAUAUUGCCAGCUGGUAUCAUUUCUAUUGGCAGGAAAACAUCUAAAAAGACAUUAGAAGUUCUGAGGGUAUGGCUCACUAGUAGAGAGGUAACAUGCUCAAAGCCCUGGGUUCAAUUCCCAGAACCACAAAAAAUUAAUUAAUUAACUAAGAAAGAAAGAAAAGGACAUUACGUGAACUAUUUUAUUUGGGGAGAGGCAAUGAUGGUAGUAAGCUUUCUGUUCCUUUAACAAUAUAUCUUAGGUAAUCAACUUAAAAAGAGGAAAGGCUCACAGUUUUAAAGGUUCCAGUUCAUGCGGUUGACCCUAUUGCUUUUGGGCCAAUCAGUCUUGGUGAAACAGCACAUCACAGAGAGGGUACAUGGUAGCACAAGCCACUCACCUUGUUACAGCUGGGAAGCAGAAGAGAGAAAAAGAAAGGGGCAUGGUUCCACCACUUGCUUCAAGGUCAGGUCCCCAAAGAUCAGAAGAUUUCCCAAUAGACCCCACUUUUAAAAGAUUCCUCCCAAUAGUGCCAAAUUGAGGACUAAGCAUUUAAUACAUGGUUUUGGGGGAACAUUUUAGAUUUAAAUUUAAAUUGUAGCAGGAGGGGUAUAUUUCAUAUGUAACCCUUU
rnacentral:lncRNA from 1 species